rnacentral:rRNA from 1 species
UACACACCGCCCGUCACGCCAUGGAAGUGGCGGGCGCCCGAAGUCCGUGCCGGAACCCUCACGGGACCAAGCGGCCGAAGGCGAGCGUCAUGACUGGGGCG